rnacentral:rRNA from 1 species
AAUGAACGCUGGCGGCGUGCCUAACACAUGCAAGUCGAACGUGAAGCCACCUUCGGGUGGUGGAAAGUGGCAGACGGGUGAGUAACGCGUGGGAACGUGCCUUUCGGUUCGGGAUAACCCAGGGAAACUUGGGCUAAUACCGGAUACGCCCUCCGGGGGAAAGAUUCAUUGCCGAAAGAUCGGCCCGCGUCGGAUUAGCUAGUUGGUGGGGUAAAAGCCUACCAAGGCGACGAUCCGUAGCUGGUCUGAGAGGAUGACCAGCCACACUGGGACUGAUACACGGCCCAGACUCCUACGGGAGGCAGCAGUGGGGAAUAUUGGACAAUGGGCGCAAGCCUGAUCCAGCCAUGCCGCGUGGGUGAAGAAGGCCCUAGGGUUGUAAACCCCUUUCAGCGGGGAAGAUAAUGACGGUACCUGCAGAAGAAGCCCCGGCUAACUCCGUGCCAGCCGCCGCGGUAACAC